rnacentral:rRNA from 1 species
GUUGUAUGGUUAAGUGACUAAGCGUACACGGUGGAUGCCUUGGCAGUCAGAGGCGAUGAAAGACGUAGUAACUUGCGAUAAGCCCAGAUUAGGUAGUAACAACCAUUUGAGUCUGGGAUUUCUGAAUGGGGAAACCCACUUACAUAAGUAAGUAUCAUUAACUGAAUACAUAGGUUAAUGAGGCGAACCGGGGGAACUGAAACAUCUAAGUACCCCGAGGAAAAGAAAUCAACCGAGAUUCCGAAAGUAGCGGCGAGCGAAAUUGGACUAGCCCUUAAGCUUUACACGCGUUAGACGAACGGUCUGGAAAGUCCGACGAUACAGGGUGAUAGUCCCGUAGUUGACGACGUGUGUUCAGUGAAAUCGAGUAGGGCGGGACACGUGAUAUCCUGUCUGAAUAUGGGGGGACCAUCCUCCAAGGCUAAAUACUACUGACUGACCGAUAGUGAACCAGUACCGUGAGGGAAAGGCGAAAAGAACCCCUGUGAGGGGAGUGAAAUAGAACCUGAAACCGUGUACGUACAAGCAGUAGGAGCAGGCUUUGUCCUGUGACUGCGUACCUUUUGUAUAAUGGGUCAGCGACUUAUAUUCAGUGGCAAGGUUAACCAUCUAGGGGAGCCGUAGGGAAACCGAGUCUUAACUGGGCGUUCAGUCUCUGGAUAUAGACCCGAAACCAGGUGAUCUAGCCAUGGGCAGGUUGAAGGUUGAGUAACAUCAACUGGAGGACCGAACCGACUAAUGUUGAAAAAUUAGCGGAUGACUUGUGGCUAGGGGUGAAAGGCCAAUCAAACCUGGAGAUAGCUGGUUCUCCCCGAAAGCUAUUUAGGUAGCGCCUCGGACGAAUACUACUGGGGGUAGAGCACUGUUAAGGCUAGGGGGUCAUCCCGACUUACCAACCCUUUGCAAACUCCGAAUACCAGUAAGUACUAUCCGGGAGACACACGGCGGGUGCUAACGUCCGUCGUGGAGAGGGAAACAACCCAGACCGCCAGCUAAGGUCCCAAAUUACUACUAAGUGGGAAACGAUGUGGGAAGGCUCAGACAGCCAGGAUGUUGGCUUAGAAGCAGCCAUCAUUUAAAGAAAGCGUAAUAGCUCACUGGUCGAGUCGGCCUGCGCGGAAGAUGUAACGGGGCUAAGUAGUAAACCGAAGCUGCGGCAAUGUGCUUUUGCACAUUGGGUAGGGGAGCGUUCUGUAAGCGGUUGAAGGUGUGUGGUAACGCAUGCUGGACGUAUCAGAAGUGCGAAUGCUGACAUGAGUAACGAUAAAGGGGGUGAAAAACCUCCUCGCCGGAAGACCAAGGGUUCCUGUCCAACGUUAAUCGGGGCAGGGUAAGUCGACCCCUAAGGCGAGGCCGAAAGGCGUAGUCGAUGGGAAACGGGUUAAUAUUCCCGUACUUCUUACAAUUGCGAUGGGGGGACGGAGAAGGCUAGGUGGGCCUGGCGACGGUUGUCCAGGUUCAAGUGCGUAGGCUUAAGAGUUAGGUAAAUCCGGCUCUUUUUAAGGCUGAGACACGACGUCGAGCACCUACGGGUGUGAAGUCAUUGAUGCCAUGCUUCCAGGAAAAGCCUCUAAGCUUCAGAUUGUAAGGAAUCGUACCCCAAACCGACACAGGUGGUCGGGUAGAGAAUACCAAGGCGCUUGAGAGAACUCGGGUGAAGGAACUAGGCAAAAUGGUACCGUAACUUCGGGAGAAGGUACGCUCUUGAUGGUGAAGUCCCUUGCGGAUGGAGCUGACGAGAGUCGCAGAUACCAGGUGGCUGCAACUGUUUAUUAAAAACACAGCACUGUGCAAAAUCGUAAGAUGACGUAUACGGUGUGACGCCUGCCCGGUGCCGGAAGGUUAAUUGAUGGGGUUAGACUUCGGUCGAAGCUCUUGAUCGAAGCCCCGGUAAACGGCGGCCGUAACUAUAACGGUCCUAAGGUAGCGAAAUUCCUUGUCGGGUAAGUUCCGACCUGCACGAAUGGCGUAAUGAUGGCCACGCUGUCUCCACCCGAGACUCAGUGAAAUUGAAAUCGCUGUGAAGAUGCAGUGUACCCGCGGCUAGACGGAAAGACCCCGUGAACCUUUACUACAGCUUGGCACUGAACAUUGACCCUACAUGUGUAGGAUAGGUGGGAGGCUUUGAAGCACGUACGCCAGUAUGUGUGGAGCCGUCCUUGAAAUACCACCCUUGUAGUGUUGAUGUUCUAACGUCGACCCCUAAUCGGGGUUGCGGACAGUGCCUGGUGGGUAGUUUGACUGGGGCGGUCUCCUCCCAAAGAGUAACGGAGGAGCACGAAGGUGGGCUAAUCACGGUUGGACAUCGUGAGGUUAGUGCAAUGGCAUAAGCCCGCUUGACUGCGAGAAUGACAAUUCGAGCAGGUGCGAAAGCAGGUCAUAGUGAUCCGGUGGUUCUGAAUGGAAGGGCCAUCGCUCAACGGAUAAAAGGUACUCCGGGGAUAACAGGCUGAUACCGCCCAAGAGUUCAUAUCGACGGCGGUGUUUGGCACCUCGAUGUCGGCUCAUCACAUCCUGGGGCUGAAGUCGGUCCCAAGGGUAUGGCUGUUCGCCAUUUAAAGUGGUACGCGAGCUGGGUUUAGAACGUCGUGAGACAGUUCGGUCCCUAUCUGCCGUGGGCGUUGGAAGAUUGAAGGGGGCUGCUCCUAGUACGAGAGGACCGGAGUGGACGAACCUCUGGUGUUCGGGUUGUGUCGCCAGACGCAUUGCCCGGUAGCUAAGUUCGGAAUCGAUAACCGCUGAAAGCAUCUAAGCGGGAAGCGAGCCCUGAGAUGAGUCUUCCCUGAUACUUUAAGUAUCCUAAAGGGUUGUCGGAGACUACGACGUUGAUAGGUCAGGUGUGUAAGUGCUGUGAGGCAUUGAGCUAACUGAUACUAAUUGCCCGUGAGGCUUAACCAUACAACACCCAAGGGGUUU